GGGAGAAGCCGGGCGGCUACCGGGUGCGAGCACCUGGGGAAAGUCCCCCAUCUGCCAAGAAGUGCUGUGCCCGUAAGGGCACGGAUCGAGAGAUCCGGUAAACCACAGAAACGGUACGUCCGCUAACCGAUGGUGAUGAAGCGGAAAAAGCUUCGGUAAUGAAGCUUCCCUCCGCCGAAGAGGUUAACGGUUUCGGUGAAACGUGGUUCCCCAGCACAGAUUAAGGCCAAGUAGGUCGCAAUGACAUCUUGGGGAGCGACGGGUAGGCCGCAAAGUCGAAUGCCGCUUAAACAGAAGGGGGCUUACGAGCUUCACCC
rnacentral:RNase_P_RNA from 1 species